UACUACAAGCGCUAGCUUAAAACCCAAAGGACUUGGCGGUAUCCCACCCACCUAGAGGAGCCUGUUCUAUAACCGAUAAUCCCCGUUCAACCUCACCACUUCUUGCCAUUACCGUCUAUAUACCGCCGUCGUCAGCUCACCCUGUGAAGGGUUAAAAGUAAGCAAAAAGAAUUAAAUUCUAAACGUCAGGUCGAGGUGUAGCAAAUGAAGUGGGAAGAAAUGGGCUACAUUUUUUACCAAAAAUAUACGAAUGGUAAACUGAAAAUUACCUAAAGGUGGAUUUAGCAGUAAGAGAAGAUUAGAGUACUUCCCUGAAAUUGGCUCUGGGAUGCGCACACACCGCCGUCACUCUCCUAUAAAUAUAUUUCUUCAAAAGAGGAGGCAAGUCGUAACAUGGUAAGUGUACUGGAAAGUGCACUUGGAAUCAAAAUGUAGCUAAAUUAGUAAAGCACCUCCC
rnacentral:rRNA from 1 species